GACGAACGCUGGCGGCGCGCCUAACACAUGCAAGUCGAGCGAUGAAAUUUUAACCGCUCUCUUCGGAGAGAAGAUAAAAUGGAUUAGCGGCGGACGGGUGAGUAACACGUGAGAAACCUGCCUUUCACAAGGGGAUAGCCUCGGGAAACCGGGAUUAAUACCCUAUGACACAUUUCCUUCGCAUGGAAGAAAUGUUAAAACUCCGGUGGUGAAAGAUGGUCUCGCGCCUGAUUAGCUAGUUGGUGGGGUAACGGCCCACCAAGGCCAUGAUCAGUAACCGGCCUGAGAGGGUGAACGGUCACAUUGGAACUGAGACACGGUCCAAACUCCUACGGGAGGCAGCAGUGGGGAAUAUUGCACAAUGGAGGAAACUCUGAUGCGGCGACGCCGCGUGAGCGAUGAAGGCUUUCGAGUCGUAAAGCUCUGUCCUAUGGGAAGAUAAUGACGGUACCAUAGGAGGAAGCCCCGGCUAACUACGUG
rnacentral:rRNA from 1 species